AGAGACACAGCAAGUAUAGACAGCUCGGAAGACCUUGACCCCCACCCACCCCAAUCGACGUGUUUUCCUGGGCUUUACUCUUUGCUUCCGUUAGUCACUUUGGCCAAGGUUUCUCCUGCGUAGACGUCAGGAUGGCGAGGACAGAGGCCAGGAAGGAAGGAGAUGUGUCCCAGAAAGCUGAAGCCCCCUCCUGGGGCAGCCUUUUGGAAGGAGCUUCUGAUACCUAACCUGGAUCAUUCCUGCUGCAGUAUCAGCAGGUGUCAGCCGGGGAAGGAGAAGCCUUCUGUGAAUGACAGUCCUUCAGAUGACUAAAAACAGCUGAACUCUAUCCCAAGCAGAUAUAAGAGAGGUGGAGAUCAGGGUCUUGCUCUAUCAUCAAGACUGGAGUGCAGUAGUGUGAUCAUAGUUCACUGCAGCCUCAAACUCCUGGGCUCAAGCGAUCCUCCCGACUCACAACCUCCUGGAAUUUUUUGAUGGAGAGAAACUGAGUCCGAGGGAUGUCAACAUGCCAAGUCCAUGGAAAUAUCAGUGGGCUGGAAUUCUAGCUGCCUGAAAGAAGACAUUCCUCACACAAGACCUCACAAUCAUAUCCAUGGAAUUAUAGCACUGGGCUCUCCAGAUGGUGCUACAGGAAGACCUCCAGAAAUUUGACAAUCCUCUAUUCAAGGCCCUACCACAGAGACACACAGGAACGGAACUCAGAAUCACAAACAAAGAAACUUUGAUCCAAGAAAGAAAAUGAUCUUUAAAAAGACCCUCGUUUCAUGCUGGCCGAUGCUGAGAAAAUCUGCUCUGAAGGAUAUUUGGAGACACUGAUUAAAAGAUGGUUGUCCCAGUGGAGGGGGAUUCUUCGUGUUACGUAGAUAGGAAGCACGAUGCAAAAGUGUUGAAGCAGGAGUGUAAAGAAUAAUUAAAACACCUGCCCAAGACCCAAGCAAGGAUAGGAUUUCCCAGACAUUCGUGAGGGAGAAAAUGCCAUGUCCUUUCCUUCUGGUGUCACAUCAGAAUCUGAAGGCUGCUAGAGAAGGGAGAGAAACAUGAAAGUGAGUCCCAUGCUGAUUGUUGUUGAAAUACCUGGAAAGAAACUGGCAAAGACUAUCCAAGGGAUGCUAAGACAUGUCCGAACUUACAAAACAGUAGAACCUGAAUAGGAAUUUGAAGUUGUCUAUACUCUCCUCAGCCACACCCUGCCAUUUUACAGAUUGUCUUCUCUGGGGAAGUUAGCUGUCAUGUUGUGAGGAUACUCAAGCAGUUUAUAAAGAGGUUCAUGUCGCAAGGAAUGGAGGCCUCCUGCCAACAGCCAUGUAAAGGAGCCAUCUAGGAAAUAGAUUCUCCAGCCCCAGUCAGACCUUCAGAUGAUUACAGCCCCUACCAACCUUCUGACUGCGGUGGAAGGAAGGUUCCGGAACCAGAACCACCCAGGUUAAUGUGGGUAAGUCUCAUCCAAUCCUUUGAAGGCCUGAAGAACAAAGAGUGAGGUUUCUGGAAGAAGAAAAUUUUACCUCAAGCCUGCAAUGUAGAAAUUCUGCUUGAGUUUCCCGCCUGCUGGCCUGCCCUGUGGAAUUCGGAGUCAAGAAGGAGUCUUGUAAGCAUUAACUGAGAUAGUAUAUGAAGAGUGCUUUUGCACCGAGUGAACCUUCAAUCAACUGUACUAGUUUGUAUGCCUGGAAGAGCUGCUAUAUGGGAUCAGAAAGAAAAAUAAGUGGAAUUGUGCGAGUGGAAAUGAUUGAUCUACAGCUAGGAGAAGCAGCAGAGCUCAAUCUCAAAAACAUAACGUUGUGUGGAAAAAGCUAACCUCAGAACACUUUGCGGCUCUAUCUUAGCAAACCAGGAGAGAAAUUCUCCUGAUGGCCUUGAAGAAGCAAACAGCCACCUGGUUAAGCCCCUGUGGAUAGUGCCAAGUGGCAGGAAAGUGGGAGCCACCUCUAGGACCUGAGGAUUAAAGUCAGUAAGAGCUGGGACCUCACUCAUGCAGACUCGAGGACAUGAAUUCGACCAACAACUUGAAUGAGCUUGGAAGUGGAUUCUUCCCUAGUCCAGUCUUCAGAAAUUAAGAAUGUUCCCAAAGAAUGAUGGAGACAUUUCAAAAGGAUACGGAAGCCAGAUUGUGGGCGCUUCUACUGGCCAACUCUGGGACAUCGUGGACAUCAAAAUAAAUUUGUAAUAAUAAAGGAUUAUAGCCUAUUAGUUAAAUCAGAAAAAUCUGAUUUAACUAAAUGAGUAGGAGGAAAAGAAAGCUCUUCCUUAUAUUAGAAAGUCAAUUAAUAAAUGCAGAAAGGAAUGAAAAAAUUAGAAAAGCCACCAUUUGGCAACCAUGGCAGGCAGAAUGGGGAGUAUGCCUCCAGACAGUAAUUCCUUUCAAACUGGUUUAUAGGAACUCACUGAGCUUGCUGAUCGACCUCUGAGAGGCAAAGUUUCUGAAUUAUGAAGUACUGAUUAUAUAAACUUAGACAGAGACAUGCUUCAUUAUUUAAUAGGACUGUGUCAAAAGCCUACUAUUAGGAUGAUGUGUUGGGUGUGGAACAGGGUCUCUUCCUGCCAGGAACACUGGUGAUUUCACUCCGUGUUCAGGCUGAUCUUUGAAGUUGAAGACAAGCAGAAGAAUCCUUCUAAAAUUUAGCCAUGCCCAUAGGCUGGGAGGGACACUGCUCCAUUCAGAGGCAGCAAAGCACAUUACUGUAUCUCCUAUAGAGCUUUGAGCAGUCCAGUGUACAUGGAGAAACUUAGUAAAUGUUGUUGAAUUAGUGAAUGAACAAAUCAAUGGACCAAGUCAGGGGUAAGUCUUACAUUUGUCAUCUAGGUGAUUAAGAAAGGAAAAAGUAUCUGUUUCAAGAGGAUUACAAUCUAACUGUACUCCAAUAGUAAAAUUUACUCUUUUGGAAUCUGAAGACA
rnacentral:lncRNA from 1 species